GAUGAACGCUGGCGGCGUGCCUAAUACAUGCAAGUCGAGCGAACAGACGAGGAGCCUGCUCCUCUGACGUUAGCGGCGGACGGGUGAGUAACACGUGGAUCACCUACCUAUAAGACUGGGAUAACUUCGGGAAACCGGAGCUAAUACCGGAUAAUAUAUUGAACCGCAUGGUUCAAUAGUGAAAGACGGUUUUGCUGUCACUUAUAGAUGGAUACGGGCGGCAUUAGCUAGUUGGUAAGGUAACGGCUUACCAAGGCAAGGAGGCGUAUACGACUGGGCAGGCGGGUAGGCCGCCUGGGAGCGGGACCGGGGACCAGAGUCCUACGGGAGGGAGCAGUAGGGAAUGGUAGGCAAUGGGCGAAAGCCUGACGGAGCAACGCCGCGUGAGUGAUAAAGGUCUUCGGAUCGUAAAACCCGGUUACUGGGGAAGAACAAAUGUGUAAGUAGACAUGCCGGUCUUGACGGUACCUAAUCAGAAAGCCACGGCUAACUACGUG
rnacentral:rRNA from 1 species